UUCAACUGGAUUUCUGAUGGUUCUGAGUGAUAGUUGUUCUAAUGUUUCAGUUGUAAUUUUGAUGUGGUUGUGCAAAGAGGCACAUCAAAAUGUGCUUGCCUGCAUGGCUACCUCAACCAGAAGUCCCAUGAAAAACUUUUAAAAUGUGUGAAUUUACUUAAUUCAUUUGUAUACUUACACAUACAUUUUUAUUUUAAUUCAUUCAGUCAAUAACCACUUGUUAUCACCAAACAUAUACUAUGUGAUGAGCAUUGUCUUAAAUAGUAGAAAUAUAAAGGAAACUAAACCUUGGGGCAAUUUUACCAUAAAAUAAUAACUAAAUAAUAUAAAACAAUUACUUGCAAAGGAAAAGGGAUUUAUUCAAUGCAGAGAAUCCCACAUUACUUUAUGAGAAAAGCAAUCCAUCAAGAUAAUUCAAUACAAAAAGUACGAGGUUAUGUCCAGAUCAAACUAAGUCCUGGGAACAUUGCAAUACAAGGAAUGCAAUAUAUAAGAUACUUUUCAGUAUGAUAUUAUUUUCUCCUUUCCUUUAAAAAUUCUGAAUCAUUCAUUCUUUCAUUUUUUCUUUAAUAGUUACUUGAGAAAAACAUGUGUAUUCUAUCGUUGGAUAGAGUGUUCUAUAUACAUAUCUGUAAGGUCUAACUGGUUUCUAGUGUUGUUCAAGAUCUCUAUUUCCUUAUUGAUCCUUUCUGUGGAUGUUCUAUCCUUUAUUUAAAGUAUGACAUUGAACUCUUCAACUAUUUGUAAAACUGUCUAUUCUCAAGUCUGUCAAUGUUUACUUCAUAUAGUUUUAUCAUUGCUAUUUCAUACAUAUAUGUUAUAAUAGUAUGUUUAUCAUAAUCAGUAUAUAAUGUCUUUUUUUCUGCUUUCAACAGUUUUGUCUUAAAAGUCUAUUUUGUCUAAAUUACUAUAGCCACCCCAGCUCUCUUAGUUACCAUUUGCAACAGGAUAAUUCUUUCCAUCCUUUCACUGUCAAUUUAUUUCUCUCUGAAUCUAUAGUGAGUUUCUUGUUGAACAGCAUAUAAAUGGAUCACGUUUUUUAUUCAUUCUGCUAAUAAAUGCCACAGUGAGAUUUCACACUAGGAUGGCCAUAAUAUUUAGAAAGGAAAAAGAAAAAUAAAUUACCAAGUAUUGGAAAGGAUGAGAAAAAAAGUGAAACCAUCAUACAUUGCUGGUAGUAAUGAAAAAUGUUCAGCUGCCAUAAAAAACAUUUUGAUGGGUCCUCAAAAAGUUCAACAUAGAAUUACCAUAUAACCCAGUAAUUCCUCAACUAGGUACAUACCUGAAAAAAUUGAAAACAGGUACCUAAACAAUACAUGUACACAUGUAUUCAGAAAUACACUAUUUCCCACAGUCCUAGAAGUAGAAAUGGCCCAAGUGCCAUUCAAUAGGUGAAGAAAUAAACAAAAUGUGAUACAUAUAUACAAUGGAAUAUUAUUCAGUCAUAGAAGGAAUGAAAAACUGAUACUGGUAAAACAUGGAUGAACUUUAAAAGCAACUCUAAGUGAAAGAAACCAGACAAAAAAGGACACAUGUGUAAUUCUAUUUAUAUGAAAUAUCCAGAAUAGGUAAGUCCAUACAGACUUUCCUAAAAAAGUAAAAUUAGUGUUUUCCAGAGGCUAGGGAGACAAGCAAUGAACACUAAUGGAUACAAAGUUUCUUUGAGGGUAAUGAAAAUGUGUUGGAAUUAGACAGUAGUAAUAUUGCAUAACCUUGUGACUACAUUAAAAAACCAAUGAGUCGUACAUUUUGAAAGGCUAAAUUUGAUAGUCUUUAAAUUUAUCUCAAUUCUUAAAACAUCUAAUAUUUAGUUAUAAAAUUUAGAACAGGAGAAUGAGGGAACUCUCUGGGGUGACAGUAAUUUCAAUAUCUUGGUAGAAUUUGGAUUACACAGAUGAUGCAUCUAUCAAGGUAACAAUACAGACAAAAUUUUGAUCAUGUUACUGUAUACAGAACUCAAGAUAAGUACAGAAAUAUUGAAUUCAGUUAAUGAUAUUUAGUUUAUUUAUUAGAAUGCACACUGAUAUCUGCAAUGUCCUUUGAAAUGCACCAACAUUAAGAUGAAUUAACAAAUGGAUAUAUAAGUGAUAAA